GAGAUCCAAAUCUACAUGAUUUGAGGAGAGUCGGUCCUGUUUAAACGAUUCCGUCCAAAAUGAACAUUUUUGAUGACAAAAAUACCCACAAUAUUAAAUGUUUGAUAUUUUUUUCCAUAAUCUGUUUCAAUUUCAUGGUUUCACAGAUGAAAAUCGAAAGAGCUCUCCAUGUACCUUUGUUUUGAAGACAACGUUGUAUGAUUUUGACAAAAUUUCAACUUGAAUUUGAUUCCCGAUCAGGUUUACGCGUCUCUAUCUUUCCCCUCUCUCAAUCCCAAAGAACCCUGUGGAAGAAGAUCUCAAACCGAACAGAUCUGGGUUUAAUGACGAGACCGUCGAAUACAAGAACAUUAGCUUCACUGUCUGUGAUGUGGGAGGACAAGGUGUUGGUUGCAUCCAAACAAUUAACUGUAUUACUCGAAACAUGAGAAACAUAACCAGUGUACAAGAAGAUACACCACAACAUCAGAAAACACUUUGUUGCAUCUAAGUAAAUUUGCCAGUUCCUUCAUCGCGGGAAGAACAUUCUAUCUGAUCGGUCAUGAGACAGGUAUGUGAACCAUCAAUAGUUUAUCUAACUUCUAACUUAACUGAAGUUACUCAUCAUUUGCUAGAUUUGUACUUAACAUGCUAGAUGAUCUCAAGGGGCAUGUAGAUUCACAUCUAGUUUAUUGAUAUCGAAGCUUAGGCAUCUGGAUACAUCUCUUUGAAUGCUUGUUUCAAAGUGGUCAUUUAGUAGAUGCUAAAGUAAAAUCAAAGUUGAUAUUGAUCUUUGUCAAAGUGGAACAAAAACAUACACUUGAUAUUCUAUGACUCAAUGUUUUUAUUGACAUGGGUGCUUGUUGUGGUG